rnacentral:rRNA from 1 species
GACGAACGCUGGCGGCGUGCUUAACACAUGCAAGUCGAACGGAAAGGCCCCUUUGGGGGUACUCGAGUGGCGAACGGGUGAGUAACACGUGAGUAACCUGCCCUUGACUUCGGGAUAACUUCAGGAAACUGGGGCUAAUACCGGAUAGGAAUCCUUGCUGCAUGGUGGGGGUUGGAAAGCUUCGGCGGUUUUGGAUGGACUCGCGGCUUAUCAGCUUGUUGGUGGGGUAGUGGCUUACCAAGGCUUUGACGGGUAGCCGGCCUGAGAGGGCGACCGGCCACAUUGGGACUAAGAUACGGCCCAGACUCCUACGGGAGGCAGCAGGGGGGAAUAUUGCACAAUGGGCGGAAGCCUGAUGCAGCAACGCCGCGUGCGGGAUGACGGCCUUCGGGUUGGAAACCGCUUUCAGCAGGGGCGAAGCUUGUGGUGACGGUACCUGCAGAAGAAGCACCGGCUAACUACGUG